UAGAUACUGCAGCCACGAGAAUCAAUGAAGCUAACGUUGCCAACGUUACUGACAGUGGACCCAGCAUAAAGACGUAUUACAUCACAGCGUUAUAUUUUACGUUUACGUCACUGACGUCAAUAGGAUUCGGAAACGUGUCACCAAAUACUAAUGGAAUUGACAUGCCGGUAAAGAUGAUAUAUUUGGUGGUGACUGCAGUGACGUGGAAUGCUCUGAAAAAUCGUUCUAUUUUGUACGUGCCCUUAGUUACUGUGAUAUUGACAAGAUAGAGUUACACGUGCUGAAAGAAACAAUGGAUAUAUAACCAGAAUUUUCAAAAAGAAUGAAUGGGUAAAAUACAAGUGACAUUCAAUUUUAAGAUGCUAAAUUGUGAUCUCUUUUGACAAAAGCUCGACGAAUGGGACCACAGAUCGGAGAAGAUGAGCCGACGUCUAGGGCAUUCGAAUUUUCUCCGCUACCAGCAAGUAGUGGCAUAGAUACGGCGUUCAAAGACAGAUCAGUGUAAACAAGACGAACAGUUGACGGAUGUUUCAUUUCUUCAUCAAAUUCCAGCCGGGACGUCAAGGCUACAGUGUGUUUUCGGUGUAUCUAUAAGGUCAUUCUUGGAAACAUCUGACAGUUGAGCGCCCUCUGGUAGUCGGCGCAUUUCCAGCUUUAAGCGCCCUCUGGUAGUCGGUGCAUUUCCGGGAAGCUGGUGAUACAGCGCCAUCUGGAAAAAAUGAAACAGAUGUCACUGUCUAACCCCGAGGAAAUCGACAUGGAUUUUUAAGAUCUACAUGUUCCUUGUUGAUGAAAUUUCAUGUAACAUGGUGCUGCCUUCCAGCCGCAUUGAAAUUAUAAAAAUGAGAUUAGUAUUUUGUAUUUUCACAUCCUAAAUGAAAUUCAGUGGCGUUAAAGACACGCCUAAAAAUAAAUGUCUUCUUUUGUAUUUCAAUGAUGGUAAUAAUACCUAAUGCAUGAAAGAUAUUAGAUAUACAAGAAUUUAGUUUCAAAUUGACAUUGACUUUAUAUUAAGACAAGACAAUAUGUUAAAUGUCUUAAUAAUUUAUUUUAUUAUAUACCUAUAUCAAUUCUGUAAAAAAUCGGCUUGUAUUUCACAAUCAGAUAUGAACAGACAGACAAAAAUUCCGUAUUGUACCUUUUAAAUUCCGUAUUGUACCUUCCGUAUUGUAUGCUGCAGGACUAUUUUCAUAAAUAUGCAUGACCCGACACAUUUCUAUAAAUAGCGCACAUAAAAACUUCACUAAGUUCGAUUUAAUAUCGAUAAACAUUGAAGGUUUCGUUCAAGAACAAAACAAGAAUCAAAAUGGUAAAGGUAUAUAAUAAAAGGGUCAUUAUAACAGUAGCUAUAGAUAUGGGACUUUGUAUUCGGCUUUCGUGGAUUUUGCAAGGUCGGCGAUCUAGCCUAAUCCACUCGAGCCGAAUAAUGCAUCCUAGAUCAAUCUACUGUUAUAAUAACCCUAUUGUAUUCUUAAAACUUUGCUGAAAAGAGAUUGUCUGAAUAAGUUUGCAGAUGAAGUUUUGAAAAACACAUUUAUUGCGGAAGGACCUCAAUAUUGUCCAGCUGAAAACUUGUAGUAUAGCUGUAUAUUACUGUAUUAUAAGAAUGCUUUUCAUGAAAUUUUUGUGGGUGAAAAAAGUAGGUCACUAAGUCGUGGUGAGACUUUAAGAUAUCCUUGAAAUCACGUAAAACUGUUGAAAUAUAACACUGAUGAAUAGAAAGUGUCUUUUUCUCCUUUUAACGUUUAUUUACCAAAACAAAACUUACAAUUGUACAGUCCAUAAAAUAAACAAACGUGUUUGUAUACAUGGACGGAUCCAAACGGAAGGGAAAGAAGCAUUUAUAUAAAUAUUCCGAUGGCAAAAUACAAUACAUAUCCGUAGCCCUGACCAACCUAUAAACCGGGCAAGUCUAUUUUAUAAGUACAUCAACACGGCUGACCCAUUUAAACGAGCUCAGUCCAUAAAAUAAACAAACGUGUUUGUAAACAUGGACGGAUCCAAACGAAAGAGGAAGAAGCAUUUCAUAGAAAUAUUUCAAUGGCAAAAUACAAUACAUAUCCAUAGACCUAACCACCCUAUGAAACGGGCCAGUCUAUUUUAUAAGUGCAAGAACACGGCUGACCCAUUUAAACGAGCUGUAGUUGUGUUAUGUGACAUUUUGUUUCAAACAUUUUUUAAAGUAAACAAUAUUUCAUCAAAAUUGAAGCGCUAUAUUGGAUGCGUACCUGACGCUGAAUAUCUCGUCGACGUGACGUCAAGUGAACAUAAUAUCGUUGUGAUGAUUUAAUAAGCAUUGGUAGUCAUAUGGGAAUAAACUAUUUAGUCUCAAAUCGGAGACAAGUUUAUGAAAUUGCCCGGAAAACUGAUUAUACAAACCAAUUCAAUAUGUCGUCAAUGUUGUCGUAAAUUAUCAUAAUCUUCUGGUAAGACGUUUUUAUUGCAUACUUGAGAGAUAUCACAGCCAGUGGUUUGUCGCUGAAUACAAUCAUUAAGUUUUUUGAUGUUUUUGAUUGAUGUUUUAUUUUUUUUGUGUUCAAGUGGAAAUUAUAAAUCAUUUCUUUUUUCUUUUUAGAUAUAUAUUAUCUUUUAGAAAUUUUCGGCGAAAUGAACGACAAAAUAAGAUAUUAGCAAUUCUUGACCAGCAAGCGGGGAUAAUAUAAAUAUGCCUGAACUCUCCCGUCUUUCCCUAGGGGAAAUUUUUGUCUAACAUAGCGUGUUGUAGGUGACGUCACAUAAUAUUGGCACCAAAUCUAUAGAUCUAUGUGACCAUGAUCUAUUUUGAGCCUGAUGGGCAAGAAGUAUGAUAUUACACGCCCGCCUGUAUAAAACUGUUUUUUUCCUAACCCUCGGGACAUCUUGGAUAAAGACACAUCGCUAACGCUCAUUUUGUCUUUCCAAACUGACUCUCGGGUAGUGAAAAACACAUAAAUGUUGCACUGGUAGAUAUGUAAGAUCCUUAUAAUCUGUAAACCGCCCUAGCAAUUCAUUACUAAUUUGCAGAUCCAUUUUAUUUUGCUUGAACUUAAACAAAAAAAAUCUUAUUUCAUAUUUCAUUCCGUUUGUAAACAGGAUUAUAUUAUAAUUUUCACAUAUUUUGUUGCAUUUAACUUUGAAAUCAGCUACGUGACUUUAAUAUAUGGAACAACAGUUUUACUGUAACGUCAUUUAGGAAAUGUUCUCCCUGACUACAUGAGGACGUCGUUAAAACAGCGGCCCGUUUAAAGGAAUAAGGUCAGUCAUAUGGUCGAAAAUGUUCUUCCGUGGUAAAUCGAAAGAAGUCCAAAGCGCAAUUCGUGUAUUCAAUCACACGCUUUCACUGCUAGAAUACAAUCUGCAUGUUUUUUAAUGUGUAUACCCCAUAUGGUCAGUUUUGUACAUCACUAGGACCUCUUCAGUCGUCUAUUCUCUUUUCAUUUUUUUGUGUGUAUUUAUGAUAGAACUUGUAUGAGAAAUUGAUGUAGA